rnacentral:tmRNA from 1 species
GGGGGCGACCUGGCUUCGACGCCGGUUGCGAACCCUGAGGUGCAUGCCGAGAGGGUAGUGACUCUCGUAAAUCAAUCGCUGUAACUUUUAUAGUUGCCAACGACGAAAACUACGCACUAGCUGCCUGAUCACCUCCUAACGGAGAGACCCAGACCAGCUUACCCCGGGGCGGAUGUGCCCAUGUAUUCAAACCGGGGGCUCGACUCAUGGGACCGCUGCCAGACCCCGCUUGUGGUUGAAGCAGCCAGACUUGAAGCAAGCUCGCCUUUUAAUCCCUGUUCACCGGGCCAGUGAAAGGUUAAACAAUAGAUGGACUAAGCAUGUAGAGCCAAAGGCAGAGAACUGACGGACGCGGGUUCGAUUCCCGCCGCCUCCACCA